AACGAACGCUGGCGGCAGGCCUAACACAUGCAAGUCGAGCGCGACCUUCGGGUUGAGCGGCGGACGGGUUAGUAACGCGUGGGAAUAUGCCCGGUACUAAGGAAUAGCCUCUGGAAACGGAGAGUAAUACCUUAUACGCCCUUCGGGGGAAAGAUUCAUCGGUAUCGGAUUAGCCCGCGUUAGAUUAGAUAGUUGGUGGGGUAACGGCCUACCAAGUCUACGAUCUAUAGCUGGUUUUAGAGGAUGAUCAGCAACACUGGGACUGAGACACGGCCCAGACUCCUACGGGAGCAGCAGUGGGGAAUUUGCAAUGGGCAAGCCUGACAGCCA
rnacentral:rRNA from 1 species